CUAUGUCUGUUUUUUUUUUGCUUAGUGACAUUUAGAAUAUCAUCUUUGUGGAUUUAUUUAUCUACAGUAUUCAAGUUUCAGCUUGAGAAAUCAUUGAAGUCCCACAUUCCACUGAGAUUACUGCGAGGAUCUGCGCAGUCGCGGAAACGGAACCUCAUAAAUAAAACUUCUGGUCACAGAUUAGGAGCCUCGCAGUAUCUCGCGGGAAUUUGGUAUUUUGUCAGUCAUUUUUCAUACCGAAACCGGAUUAGAUACAUAAAUGCCCACAUAUGAUGUUGGGCUGUUUAUAUUUGUAUUUUUUACCUUUGCUGUAGAUGCAACUGAAGUCCUUGGUUAUGCUGCAGGUGUUAUCACUUGCUGUCUGCGGAGGGUUGAUGUCAGAAGAGCUUCUGUGCUGUUUACUCUCUGCCAAAACCUGCCCACCUGGUUUAGCAUGUUCAAUUAUGCUUUCUGGAACAAUUAAACCCGGAGUACAUGAUGAUCCAAUACAAUAUUGACAUGUCUAUAUUGUCAUGUGGAAUUCUUAGAAUUUUGACAUUAGGCCUGUAAUCCAAUAUAUUUGUAUUUAUUUAACUAGGCAAGUCAGUUAAGAACAAAUUUACAAUGACAGUCUACACCCCUGGACAAACCUUCCCCUAACGACACUGGGCCAAUUGUGCACCGUCCUAUGACACUCCCAAUCACGGCCAGUUGUGACGCCGCCUGGGAACUAACCAGGGUCUGUAGUGACGCCUUAGACCGCUGCGCCACUCGAGUGGUCUACAUGUUGGAUAUGGUUGUCUUUUGCAUAUCAUGUGAAUCUAACAUAUUAUUCAAAUAGAUACGCUACCAUUAAUAAGUUGUCGUGCUUACAGAUAUCAUAAAUGAAAACUUGCCAUGCCAUUCAAAAUACAUGAAGAGUAUAGCCAGAAAAAGGACAGUUAUUUGACAUUUUUAGCCACCACCCAUCUUGACAUAACCCAUGGAUAUACCAUAGAGAUACAUCUAAAUAAUUGAUAUGCUCAUUUGACUCUGACCUGGUAGCUGCAAGUAAUCCAUAAUGUGUCCACAUAUGAUUGAGUUCUGGGAGUGAAGUUUGUCCAGUUUCUCCCUGUUCCACUGCUGCCCCUCCAUGAGAUGCACCUGGAAUGGUUUUGUGGAAUAUAUAACCCCCUGGAGGAACUAGGCGUGGUGGUGGGCGCAUUAUGACACAAGGCUAUUCAACCUGAAUGAAACAAUGCUAUUCCAAAAACCUUUGAGAAUAAGAGCCUCCCCAAAAUGUUUCUGACAAUCACUAGCUACCACAUCAAUUCAUUAUGAUCUCGUCUGUCUUUUUUUGUCCUUUUGUGUGUAAUUAUUUGGCUCAAAAUAUGUUUGUGUGUGCUACUCAACCUGCAUACAGUACUCUGAAGGAUCAAAAAAAGACUGGUGAAUGUUACCUGCAUUUGGUCUGAGGACACCAUUGAAAUAUUAUAUUAAAACCGGCAACUGGAUUUCUAGGACAGCAAAAUUGUUAUUAUUGCUUUGUGAGAAUGCAUGACUCCCUGUCAAAAUAAAAGUUCAACAAAAUGAGCUCCCACUCCUCUCACAUGCUGACCUUUGACAUCACCUACUAAGGAAAUGACCUUGAAGACAGCAUUAUUGGCAGUUAAAUGCAACAACCUUUCAUGGCAUUCAGUGUUUACAUAGCCUUUAAAGUAGACAUUCACUUUUUAACUUCACGAUUUGGGCUAUAUGGUAGUAACGUGUGGCGUCAUGUAAUAUUUUGCUUUCAAAUUACAGCUCCAUCCACUUUUAUUUUCGGGUGAUUACCAACUAUAUAUAUAUAACCAUUUCAAGUUAGUGGCAAAGCAUUAUCUUUGCAUAUGAAAAGUCCAAGGACUGCCUUAGAAAGCUUUAAUUAAAGUACAUUUUAUUUUUGUAAACUUCAGGACUUAGGAUAGGCUACUGCAGUAACUGUGGAAGGCAGGUUACAGAACUGUAUCUACUGCCGCUAUGUAGAGGGAUAAUUUGACUGUGCUCGUGUGUCCUAUUUAGACAACCUGGUGAACUGGUUUGGUUGGUAUGUCAGUACUUGCAAGAACUUGAAAACGUUUUGUGGGCUGACAUGCAUUCUGUAACUCACGACUGCUUCUUCAACUAAAAACUUCAACCUGGACUAAGCCCAUAAGAUUGUCUUAAGAUAUUUUCAGCAACGUCAUGCAGGAACUUCUCCUUAGGCUGCUGAGCGAUAAAGAUCUAGAGGUCAAGAUCCUUGACAGUCCAUACCAGAUACAGGGUAGAUGGAGCCAGACAUGGAUUGAACUAAGUACAACACAACUGUAAAGAGGAGGGGAGGCGAGACCAAGAGCAUGAAAUAUCUGCCCAAGCUCUUGGACUGCCAACACACCUGCUGCUCUGUGUGCUUGACCCAGAUGAAGAUGAGCCUGAGUGAGCUGCGCUGCCCCUGGUGUCGCUCUGUCACCACCCUGCCACCUGGGGUCUCCGUCUCCCAGCUCCCAGAUGACCCGGACAUUAUGGCCGUCAUCUCUGUCCCAUCCCCCCCAGAAUACACACCUCUCUUCUUCAAACAGCUGCUUAGUAAAACCUGCUACCUGUCUAUAGACCACCAAGAGAGGGCCACAGUGUCUGGUGAACAUUCAGGUAGGCACCUGCAGGCUGGGCAGACACAGGAGAUGUCUCCAGUGCCUGUGUCUGACGAGGGAAGCCCAGGGUUGGGGGAGGAACAUGGGGAGAGCGAGGAAGGUUGUUGUAAGAGCUCGUUCACGACCAGGGCAGGCUUAGUGGUUCUUCUGGGUUUUGUCCUACUCUUACUUGUGUACAUUGUACUGUACAACAUGAAAUGCAUUUACAAACGGUUCACCAUGAUAUCCUGUGCCUAAAAGACUGGAUACUAAUAAGCUGUUUGGAAUCUUUCUAUCUCACUCCCAAAAAUGACUGGACAUUGUCACAAUGCCAGUAUUCAGGCUAUUUCUUAACCAGAGAUAGUGCUGUCAUACUGAGGGAAGAAAUGGUUGUUAUACUUUGUUUUAGGAAUGUGUACAGUUAUAAUGAUGAAUUUGAAUUGUUCAAAGGAUUUUUCAUAUUGUUGUGCAAUAAAGAG